AAGGGCACCACAAGAACGCGUGGAGCAUGUGGCUUAAUUUGACUCAACGCGGGAAAUCUUACCGGGUCCGGACACACUGAGGAUUGACAGGUAUUUUGUAAUAGGUUAAUGAAGAGAAAAAUUUUUUUAUUUUUUUUUUCAUCCUGUUACUACUAAAUAUGCUAGUCCUUUCAUGAUUGUGUGAUAGGUGGUGCAUGGCCGUUCUUAGUUCGUGGAGUGAUCUGUCUGCUUAAUUGCGUUUCAUAUUUGGACUUUACAGUAAUGGUUUCGUGUAAAAAAGCUUAUUUGUAUUUUACAAGAUUUUGUUAUUGUUAUUUUAUUUAAUCUAAUUAAAUUUAAUAUACAUCAAAAACCCUUGUUUUACUAAAUAAUGUUCUUUUUUGCGAUUCCAUGUUAAAGUCCUGAAGGCAACGAACGUGACCG
rnacentral:rRNA from 1 species